CGGCGGAUGGGUGAGUAACACGUGGGUAACCUACCUACAAGCUUGGGAUAACUCGUGGAAACGCGAACUAAUACCAAAUGCGAUCUUUUACCUCCUGGUAAAAGAUUAAAAGACGGUUUCGGCUGUCACUUGUAGACGGGCCCGUGGCGCAUUAGCUAGUUGGUGAGAUAAAAGCUUACCAAGGCAACGAUGCGUAGCCGACCUGAGAGGGUGAUCGGCCACACUGGGACUGAGACACGGCCCAGACUCCUACGGGAGGCAGCAGUAGGGAAUCUUCCGCAAUGGACGAAAGUCUGACGGAGCGACGCCGCGUGAAUGAUGAAGAUCUUCGGAUCGUAAAAUUCUGUUGUUAGGGAUGAACAAGUGUGAGCGUAACUACUCACACCUUGACAGUACUUAACCAGAAAGCCCCGGCUAACUACGUGCCAGCAGCCGCGGUAAUACGUAGGGGGCGAGCGUUGUCCGGAACUAUUGGGCGUA
rnacentral:rRNA from 1 species